rnacentral:lncRNA from 1 species
CUAAAGCUACUCUAACACCAAUCUGCAACUUUAAAUCUGACUCUAUGAUUUGUCUAGCAAUCUUUGAGGGUGCUUCGUUCUCGCUUAUGGCAUCAACGUCUAUCUUCCACAUAGCAUAGUCCCAUAGGAGAGCAUCAUAUCUUUAACAGGGUAGAUUAGAAUCAAAUGUUGUUUAUGGAAUCUCGCCAAUAGUGCCCACAAACUCUGUGUAUGCCGCAACAUGCACCCCACAAUCCCUAAAAAAUAUUAAUUGAAAAAAUUAAAAAUAAUUCAUACAAUUAAAAUUUUAAAAUGAUACAAGAAUGAUAAUUGAAUACAUACAUGCUCCCAGCUUUCGGUUGAGGCAGAUUUGAUAUAAAAACAACUUAAAAGGGAUUAGUAUGUGACUUGUCAGUGUACGCUGAGUAAGUAUACCAAUCUAUGCCUUGGCUAUAUAUGUAAAAGCCAUUGAUUAAUCGAUAUAAAGGUACAAGCCUAGCUAGUUUAUCUAUGCCAGAAGCUACAUAGGCAUCAUGUCCUGCAGACAUGUACGAGUCAUACACUUUGAUACAUCUCUCCUUGAAUGAGACAACAGCCAAUAUCUAGUGUAGUUUGUCCUUCAAGUUGAUUGGUAUAAAGACAUUGUCAAUAAUAUACGAAGGUACAUUAGCUAGCAAUCUAUAGCCCCUUAUGUACUCACACACCACAUCUUCUUCUUUGGCUACAUUAGCAUUACUAUCUGUAUCAGCAUAUUUAUUGAACAUUUCAGCGAUUCUUGUCUUGAAUAUACAAUCAACAGUUGUAUACUUGAAAUUGCUUGUUUGGUUGUACUUUCC